rnacentral:rRNA from 1 species
UGGCGGACGGGUGAGUAACGCGUGGGGUAACCUGCCUCAUACAGGGGGAUAACAGUUAGAAAUGACUGCUAAUACCGCAUAAGCGCACAGGACCGCAUGGUCCGGUGUGAAAAACUCCGGUGGUAUGAGAUGGACCCGCGUCUGAUUAGCUGGUUGGUGAGGUAACGGCCCACCAAGGCGACGAUCAGUAGCCGGCCUGAGAGGGUGAACGGCCACAUUGGGACUGAGACACGGCCCAAACUCCUACGGAAGGCAGCAG